rnacentral:rRNA from 1 species
GCUAGUUGGUGAGGUAUGGCUUACCAAGGCGAUCUACUGGUCUGAGAGGANGAUCAGNCACACUGGAACUGAGAUACGGUCCAGACUCA